GGGCUUGUGGUUUAGUGGUAUAAUACUCCCUUAGCACGUGACGAGACACGGCGGCGUCUAUAUGAUGACUGGCUUUACUCCAACCCGUCUAUUCUGGGAGUGGUCCGGGGUUCGAUUCCCCGCGAGUCCA